rnacentral:tRNA from 1 species
UCCCCUCUGGUGUAGUGGGAACACGCCGGCCUUUGGAGCCGUGAAGACCAGGUUCGAGCCCUGGGAGGGGAG